AUGCGAGUUGAGAGGGUUCGGCCCUCGGCAGACCGCUCAGUAACACGUGGAGAACCUGCCCUGAAGCGGGGGAUAACCUCGGGAAACUGAGGAUAAUACCCCAUAGUUCUGGGAUGCUGGAAUGCUUCCAGGACGAAAGGCUUGCCACUUCAGGAUGGCUCUGCGGCCUAUCAGGUUGUAGUGAGGGUAACGGCCUCACUAGCCUACAACGGGUACGGGCGUUGAGAGACGUCGCCCGGAGAUGAACUCUGAGACACGAGUUCAGGCCCUACGGGGCGCAGCAGGCGCGAAAACUCCGCAAUGUGGGAAACCACGACAGGGGAACACCAAGUGCCAGCACAAUGUGUUGGCUGUUUUCUUGUCUAAAAAACAAGGAGAGUAAGGGCUGGGUAAGACGGGUGCCAGCCGCCGCGGUAAUACCUGCAGCCCAAGUGGUGGCCGUUAUUAUUGGGCCUAAAACGUCCGUAGCCGGCUUCCUAAAUGCCUGUGUAAAUCGAACGGCUUAACCGUUCGAACAGCGGGUAGACUGGGAGGCUUGGGACCGGGAGAGUCACGAAGUACUCCGGGGGUAGAGGUGAAAUUCUGUAAUCCUCGGGGGACUACCGGUGGCGAA
rnacentral:rRNA from 1 species